AUAUUGGACAAUGGGGGCAACCCUGAUCCAGCCAUGCCGCGUGUGUGAAGAAGGUAUUAGGAUUUUCACGCACUUUAAGUUGGGAGGCAGGGUUUUAGGUUAAUACCCUGAAGUUUUGACGUUACCAACAGAAUAAGCACCGUCUAACUCUGUGCCAGCAGCCGCGGUAAUACAGAGGGUGCAAGCGUUAAUCGGAAUUACUGGGCGUAAAGCGCGCGUAGGUGGUUCAGUAAGAUGGGUGUGAAAUCCCCGGGCUUAACCUGGGAACUGCUUUCAUAACUGCUGAGCUAGAGUACGGUAGAGGGUAGUGGAAUUUCCUGUGUAGCGGUGAAAUGCGUAGAUAUAGGAAGGAACAUCAGUGGCGAAGGCGACUACCUGGACUGAUACUGACACUGAGGUGCGAAAGCGUGGGGAGCAAACAGG
rnacentral:rRNA from 1 species